rnacentral:rRNA from 1 species
UACGAAGGGGGCUAGCGUUGUUCGGAAUUACUGGGCGUAAAGCGUGCGCAGGCGGCUUCUCAAGUCAGGGGUGAAAGCCCAGAGCUCAACUCUGGAAUUGCCUUUGAGACUGAGAGGCUUGAGUACGGGAGAGGUGAGUGGAAUUCCCAGUGUAGAGGUGAAAUUCGUAGAUAUUCGGAAGAACACCAGUGGCGAAAGGCGACUUACUGGACACAUAUUGACGCUGAGGUGCGAAAGCGUGGGGAGCAAACAGG